rnacentral:lncRNA from 1 species
AAUGUUUAUCGGUAUUAGGCCUUCAAAGGAACUCAGAUGUCAUCAUUAGGCCUUCAAAGGAACUCAGAUGUCAUCUUUAUGUUUCCCAAUGUCAAUGAGACAUUCUAUAUUUGUAGUGUCAAUGACGAGGUGGUGUCCAUCUAUUUCACGUGCAUAUUUAUACGUGUCUAGCCUCACUGCAGAUUGUUGAAGAACCUCUCCCGGCCACCCUCCCCCCGCGGCAUUUGUGGAUUAGGUAAAUGAUAUCAUAAAGUAGAAUUUGUUG